AACGCACCUUGCGCUCCUUGGUAUUCCGAGGAGCAUGCCCGUUUGAGUGUCUUGAUAUCAUCGAGCGCGCGCCUGCCUUCCCGGUGGGUCUGCGCUUGGACUUGGACGUGCUGCCGGGCAACCACGCUCGGCUCGUCUCGAAUGCAUUAGUGGGAUCCCACACCGACCUUGGACUUUAUGGCUCUCACUCGGCGUGAUAAGAUCACCCGUCGAGUCGUCCCUGGCUCAACCCGUGGACCUGCUUCCAACCCGUCCCCCCUGUGGACAACGCGAAACGGCCCUGCCGCUUCGACAUCUGACCUCAAAUCGGGUAGGACUACCCGCUGAACUUAA
rnacentral:rRNA from 1 species